AUACAUUAGACAUUCUAUAAAGGGUGGCAACUCUCAAUACAAUAUAACAACUCAAUUAUUGAAAUGUGUUAUGUUAUCACAUGACUUGAUUUGGUUUUUGUUGUUGACUAGCGGCAAACAAAACAAAAAAAAAAAAAAACAUUUUAAAGAAAGUAUAGUGACUCGCUCUCAAGUUAGAAAAUUCAAAGACAGUCACUUUUAUGAUAAAUGUCAAGAGGGCAAUUUUACUUUUAAUUUUCUAACUAGUUACCACAGGUCGUAUGGAAUGAUGGCGUCGCCGCCGGCGAUGAUGACGACGAUGGAAAGAAGAGUUUAUUAAAUAGUGCCAUAGCACGAUAUUUUCACCAAUUCGACAUAAAUUGGAUGACGUCCACUUUGUGAGCUUUAAAUUGAUUUUACUACUGUCCACCUGCAUUGGGGAUGUAUAAAACAACGAUAACAACGGAUAUUAGCGACGACGACAACGACGUCGACAAAGACAUAUUCCCAAUCAUCACUCUUUUACCCUUUUGGGUGUUUUUUGCUUAUAUUUGCAACCUAACUAAUUGACUGCUGAAUAAUCACUUUCCUUUUUUUUUACUUCUUAGCAUUUGUUACAAGUUUUUCAUGCCAACAUCUAAAAUCACACUCUACAUUGAGUUGGGAUCAAAGCCGAAAUUAAGAAUUGAGUUUGCAUUUUGGCAAUUCAUAAAACAAUAAUAAUAAUUAAGAGGAAAUACACACACGAUUAUGAGAGAAGGAACAAAGAACAGGGGAAGAAUGCUAUACAACUCGUGGAAGGUACAAUACAACCGAGAGACAACCAACGACGACGUUGUUAAAGAACACAAACGAAUUAAUCAACGAUAUCGAUGUUUUUUUAGCGCAGAUUGUUGCUCUUGCUCGCUUGAAGAUAAAGCAACCACUAAGUAGGUUCUCUGUCCUAUUCCGAUACUUAAGUCAAGUGACUUACGAAAAAAUAAGCUCCUCCGUCGCAGCCGUUUCCACUGCGCUGCGAUUGUUUGUUUAUGUUUACCAUUGACGCAUCGUUAUGCAAAAAAAAAAAAAAUGAAAGAAAGGAGGGAACAAAGUUUAUAAUAUUGGCGUUUGGUUCUAAUUUGAAGAGACGGAGGACGAGGAGAGAAAUGAAAUUGGGAAAUUACUUGAGUUUAGGUCAUCAAUUUUGAAGUUCUUGGGAUUUUGUUGGUGGUGAAAAACUGUCACGUUUGAUUUAUUUUCUUUUUUUUUUUUCUACUCGCCGUUCGAUGUGCGGCGGCGACAACUACACACUAAUGAAACAGUUCAAUGAUCUAUUAAGCUUAUCUGUUAAUCAGUUAGCAAUAAUAAAAAAAAAUACACAUCGUCAUCACUGCGAAUAAUAAAAGACAAAACACUUGAGCAAGAGAAA